AGGAUACGUUUCUCAAGUUCUGUUCCAGCGGCAAUCGUCGAUCGAUAAAAGCCCAAGUUAACACCUGCAAACAGAGAGACAAAAUAAAUAGCAAAAGUGUUAGUCAAAGUCAAAGCACCAGUACUUUUAUAACAAAAGUCUUAUGAUUUAGCAUUGUAUUUUGAUGGGUGAAAUUAUUUUUUUUUUUGAAUAAAGGGUCCUUGCUUUCAUUCAAACUUGACCUUCGUCACUUAAUUGCCUUCUCUUUCUGCGUUGCUCUUUAUUCCACGAAAAAAAUUUGUUGUUACCCAGGAAGAAUUGAAUGUAGAGUGGAUUUCAUAUAUGAAUCUGGAAAUAGGCAGGGACGUAAUAAAUUCAUCUUAUUUCGCAAGGGGUAUUUUGCGAAUUGGAAUGGUUAUUAUGAAGGUCCGUAUCUUUCGAACUCAUCACACGUGUUGCUUUCAUUCAAUGGAUUGAGGACACGUUUUGAUGAAGAGUGUUUCGUUAAGGCCUCAUUUUGCUUCACCGCUAACGAUGACGAGGAGUAUAUUAUGAAGUGUGGGGUACAUCCUAUAUAUAGUAGAAAUAAAAGGGGAAGCAGAAAUCAAGGGCAUCAGGAUGACGGGGAAUAUUGGAAAACAACUUGCAGAGAAGAAGAAUAAAUAAUGAGGAAGAAGAAGAGGAAGAGGAGGCUUCUUCUUCUUUUCUCGAUCUAAAUCUCUCUAUCUCUUCCCGCUUCCUCUUAGCCAAACCCUACUCACGUUCACUACAGCUCUAUCAUCCCCUUAUUUGGUUCUUAACAACCUGCCGCUCCAUAUUUUAGAAAGAGAGGGAUGACUAUACAGGAGAAUAAUUGAGCUCAAAUCAGGGGGAAAAAACAGGUUUAACAAUGCAAAUUUCAUUUGAUUGUUGGAAUGCAAAUUGGGCAAAGCUUCUCCAAUCUUCCAUGCAGUGUCAAGUGAAGGCCCUGUUAUUCCUAUUCCUAGACUUGCAUAUCUAUUCAGUCCAUGAGGUGCUGAAGGCCCUCAAGGGGAGUAGGACAUUGGAGCAUCGAGUUAAGGACAUGGUAAAAGCAGUCAAUCGAAACAGAAGACAAAAAGGCGUGAUGGUAACUCAAGAAGAGGGAGAAGUCAACAAGUCAAGAGGAUCCUUGCUUAGUUGUAUUUUAGGAGGGAACAGUUAAGGAGUUUGUUUGUAAUUUGUUACUGAAGUUAGCACUUGUUACAACCAUAAACUCGAUGUACUAGAGUUGCUGGUCUGAGAUCCACCGUCAGGUCUUGAGAAGUCUAUGAGACCAAUUCCUGACAUUUUGGUAUCAAAGCAUCAAGAUUCUGAGGUCUCUCAAGAUUCCACUAUAGCUGAGUUGAUCAAGCUGGCAAGGAAGGCUAAGCAGAAUAUGGCGAUCGAAAAACCUAGAUUGCAGAAUCUGGAGGAGCAAAUGCAAUCACAGAAUCAGAAAAUCCAAGAUUUGAGUGCAGGGCUGCAUAGAAUGGAAGAAAUGAUGAGCCAUAGAAUGGAGGAGAUGAUGAGUCAAAUGAUGGAAUUGAUGAAGCCGUCGCAAGGGAAAGGUAAGGAACCUGUGGUCCCUGAAACUCAAUCUAAUGUGAAUGGAACUAGGGUCAAUCCUAUUGAAAUUGGAGCAAAUAGUAAUGAAGGAAGGGGUAUUUUGCCGCUGCCGAAGGGGAAAGAAAAUGGGGAUUCUGGUAAUAGUUCUCAAGGGCAUAAGAGUUCUUGUAAUUUGAGGAAUUCUGUGAUGAAAUUGAAGGUAGAUGUUCCCCAAUUUGAUGGUGGUAAUCUGAGAGGAUGGGUAAGAAAAUGCCAGAAAUAUUUCCAAGUUUAUGAUGUGAGUGAGGAACAAAAAGUGGAAGUAGCUUCUUUAUUUUUGGGGGAAAAAGCUGACAUUUGGUUCCAAGGUUGGCAAGUCAGUAGACCAACUGCAUCUUGGAGUGAAUUUGCAGAAGAGUUAUGCAAGAGAUUUGGGAAGUUGACUGUAACUGAUGUAGUUGAGGAGUUUAACAAGUUAAAUCAAGAAGGUUCAGUAUUGGAUUAUCAGGAGAAGUUUGAGGAGCUUAAGGCUUUAAUGUUGAAGUAUAAUCCAAGUCUAUCCGAACCUUAUUUUAUCUCUAGUUUCAUCAGCGGGUUGAGUGAGGAAUUGAGACCUGUAAUAAAAAUGUUUAGACCUGAAUCAUUGUUGCAAGCCUUUGAACAAGCAAAAUUGCAAGAGCAAUCCAUUGAGGCUAUUUUGAGAAAACAAAAGCCAUAUAUUAGGCCAUACUUCAAUUCCUACAACACAAGAAAUGCUCAGUUUAGAAAUGCCAAUCCCACAUGUAAACCUAAUUUCUCUACUGCAAACCCAAGUUCUUCUUUCUCUAAACCAAUCUCUGUUGCUGAAUUGGAGAAACCAUCCUCAAAGUUUAUUAACUCUGACUUGAAAAAGGGUAAUAAUAGUUGUUUUAAAUGUGGAGACAGGUAUUACCCUGGUCAUCAAUGUAAGACUCAACAAAUAUUAGCAUUGCAGGCUGAUGAAGAGGGAUUGGAAGAAGUGGGGAAUAUGGGGGGAGAGGAGGUUGAGAUCUCCAUGCAUGCCUUAGAUGGCAGUAUUUCUCCUAAUACAUUGAAGAUUAGAGGGAAGAUAGACAAGCAGUCAAUUGUCAUAUUAAUUGACAGUGGAAGCAUACAUAGUUUCCUGGAUUAUAAAAUUGCUAAAGAGUUGGGAUGUAGGAUGGUAAAAGCCCCUCCACUUUCUGUGACAGUAGCAAAUGGUCACAAGAUGGUUAGUAGAUUCAAGUGUGUUGGGUUUUAGUGGAAUAUGCAGGGUCAUUCCUUCUUUUUCAACAUAAGAUUGUUGGAUUUGGGUGGUUAUAACAUGGUACUUGGAGUGGAUUGGAUGAGGUCUUAUAGUCCAAUCACUUUCGAUUUUCAAAACCUAAAAGUUUCAUUUCAAAAGGAAGGGAAGCAAAUUGACCUUAUUGGGGUGACUGAGAAAGGUUCAUAAAAACUGAUGACAAGGAGGCAAUUACAGAAAUUGUUCAGGAGGGACUUUCUGGAGUUGCUGGUCUGAGAUCCACCGUCAGGUCUUGAGAACUCUAUGAGACCAAUUCUUGACACUGUUCUACACAUAUUUUGGGAAUUCUUGAAAUUAAAUGAAAGCGCCAUAACUUGAUUGCCUAUGCGCCGUAUGUGUUCUAAAGCGCCGUAGAAGAGAGCGUGAGGAGAAUGCUGGACUUGCUAGCGGUAAGAUUGGAGGCGCUGAUAACAAACAUGCUCAUGAGUUGAAGCAAGAGAAUUGGUUUGUGAGGUCAGCACAUUAGUGGAGAAAGAAGAGGAUAAGUCUCAUCCCAAUAACUGUUUCUGGGAUUUUUGCCUUUGAGCAAGAAGCAGCUGUCAUGGGUCUCUUUGAUUUUGUCUUGUAAAUAAUUUUCCAAACGUAAUAAGGGAUGUUCACUUAUAGAAAGUCCAGGAGAUGAAGAUUCAUCAUCAAAUAUGAGCGAAUCAAUAGAUCCAGAUGCAGAUGCUGAGGUGGAAGAAAAGAGACGGGUGAAAAUGGGGGAUAGUGAGCAACUGUAGAGCCCUGUUAAGGAGAAGCAUGAGGAGGCAGAGGAAGACGAUGAUGAAGAGGAAGAGGAGGAGAAUGAGAUAGAGAUUCAAAAGAAAGGGAAGGUUGAAAUGUCAGAGCAAUCAGAGUUUGCUGAUAGAUCAGGAGAGAAGCCUAGUCAACAAUCUCAGCCUGGACUAGCAGGGAAUGCAGGUGCAGUGGACCAAAUGCAUAUCGAGAAGGGACAUGCAAUAGGGCAACAUGAGGAAGAAACUCAAAAAGUUCAGCAAAAUAAGAAUAAGGAAUCACAAGAAGGAGAGCAGAAGGCUAUAAUGUUUGAGAAGUUCCAUUCUGAAAAUCCUUUCCUUCUAAAUGUGUGCAGAACUCUCUUCCCUGACAACCAUAAAUAUGUCUGGAGUGGACCUCGCGCACUGGUUCAGCGUGAAGGUUCCCGUCGUAGAAGUUGUAUUUAUGCUGCUAUUGAAAUUUUGAUGAAGUAGGUACGUUUUGAUUACUUCAGAUUGCCCCUACAAAGGAUCUGAAUCAAUCUUAUGCUUCGCCUGGAUCAAAUAUAAUGUUAUAGUGUGGCAUGUUUGACAUAAAUGCUUGCAUACAAAUGGAAUGUCUGGUAGUUGGUGUCUCUUCUCAGCUGAGAAUGGUAAUUUGCUUUGGUAUGGUCUUGAUUUACAAUCCCUAGUGAGCAUUUGUUGUGACCUUUUGGGUAUGUGGGAAGAUACACUGGUAUUUCUUGUUGUGAAUACACUUGGUAACUGUAAUGAUUUAAUAUUGAGCUAAGAUUUUUUAGUGUGUUAUUGCAGGAAACAAUCACUUGUAAAACUGUAAAUAGUUGAUCCUUUUUAUUUC